UUUUGAGUGUUAUCAGAGAGUGAGAAGUUUCUAAAAGUUCUUGGAGAUUUCUGUGAGGUUUUCUGGAGAAUUUGAGGCUUGUUCUUGAUGGUUUCAGGAGUUAGAAGGCUAGAUCUGGGUUAAUUGGUGUUAGGAGAGUUUGAUCCUUCCAUUUCCUCUCUUUUUUGUUUCUGGUUAAUCCAUUUUAAGAGUGUUGUGGUGCCUCUCAACGUCCCUUUGGUGAGUCUCAAUCGUCCAAGGAGUGCAAGGAGAAGCGAAUGGAGUGAUGUUAGGGUUUAGGUGUCGCUCGACACCAGUGGAGGGUCUCGAUCAACACUAACUUGUCUGGUCGGGUUUCCAAGUGUUGGUGUCAAGCGUCAGUAGGAAGGUAAAGGGAAAGUGUGACUGUGGGAUCAAGUCGAGGAGAAAAGAAUGAUCUAGGGGCUCACUGGAUGUUCGUGAAUAAGGGUAGAACUAUUGUUAGGAACGUUAGUUCUGGAAUCUAGAAACAUGUUAGGAAUGCUGGUUUGAUUUUGAAAUAAUGGUUGAAUUGUUGAUUCAUGCAAAUGGGUUAUUUGGAUUGUUUUGUUGUGUCUUCUGUUGGUUA